rnacentral:rRNA from 1 species
AGCGGGGCGAAGCCAGAGGAAACUCUGGUGGAGGCUCGAAGCGAUACUGACGUGCAAAUCGUUCGUCUGACU